rnacentral:rRNA from 1 species
CCUACGGGUGGCAGCAGUGAGGAAUAUUGGUCAAUGGACGAGAGUCUGAACCAGCCAAGUAGCGUGAAGGAUGACUGCUCUAUGGGUUGUAAACUUCUUUUAUAAAGGAAUAAAACGAGGCACGUGUGCCUUUUUGCAUGUACUUUAUGAAUAAGGAUCGGCUAACUCCGUGCCAGCAGCCGCGGUAAUACGGAGGAUCCGAGCGUUAUCCGGAUUUAUUGGGUUUAAAGGGAGCGUAGAUGGGUUGUUAAGUCAGUUGUGAAAGUUUGCGGCUCAACCGUAAAAUUGCAAUUGAUACUGGCAGUCGUGAGUACAGUUGAGGUAGGCGGAAUUCGUGGUGUAGCGGUGAAAUGCUUAGAGAUCACGAAGAACCCCGAUUGCGAAGGCAGCUUACUAAACUGUGACUGACAUUGAUGCUCGAAAGUGUGGGUAUCAAACAGGAUUAGAUACCCGGGUAGUC